rnacentral:rRNA from 1 species
GUUAGGAAUAUUGGACAAUGGGCGCAAGCCUGAUCCAGCCAUGCCGCGUGAGUGAUGAAGGCCUUCGGGUUGUAAAGCUCUUUAGUCCACGAAUAUAAUGACUGUAGUGGAAGAAUAAGCCCCGGCUAACUUCGUGCCAGCAGCCGCGGUAAUACGAAGGGGGCGAGCGUUAUUCGGAAUCACUGGGCGUAAAGCGUGCGUAGGCUGUUUUCUAAGUCAGAAGUGAAAGCCCAGGGCUUAACCCUGGAAUUGCUUUUGAAACUACAAGACUCGAAUUCGGGAGAGGAUAGCGGAAUUGUCAGUGUAGCAGUGAAAUGCGUAGAUAUUGACAGGAACACCAGUGGCGCAAGCGGCUAUCUGGACCGAUAUUGACGCUGAGGCACGAAAGCGUGGGGAGCAAACAGGAUUAGAAACCCCUGUAGUCC